GAUGAACGCUGGCGGCGUGCUUAACACAUGCAAGUCGAACGAAGAUGCCGGAGUGCUUGCACUUUGGCAGACUGAGUGGCGGACGGGUGAGUAACGCGUGGGUAACCUGCCUUAUACAGGGGGAUAACAGUUGGAAACGACUGCUAAUACCGCAUAAGCGCACGGUAUCGCAUGAUACAGUGUGAAAAACUCCGGUGGUAUAAGAUGGACCCGCGUCUGAUUAGCUUGUUGGUGAGGUAACGGCCCACCAAGGCGACGAUCAGUAGCCGGCCUGAGAGGGUGAACGGCCACAUUGGGACUGAGACACGGCCCAGACUCCUACGGGAGGCAGCAGUGGGGGAUAUUGCACAAUGGGGGAAACCCUGAUGCAGCGAUGCCGCGUGGAGGAAGAAGGUUUUCGGAUUGUAAACUCUAUCAGCAGGGAAGAUAAUGACGGUACCUGACUAAGAAGCACCGGCUAAAUACGUGCCAGCAGCCGCGGU
rnacentral:rRNA from 1 species